CUUCCUUAGAGAGAAGCUUCAAGGGACAUCUACCAUUCUCUUGAAAGAGUUCUUAGCUAAGUACGUCAGAGGUUCAGGUGUUUCGAAGCAAGGAGGACUGGAGGAAGUGGGCAGCUUCCAAUUACGCCAACAGAAGAGAUCAAGCCAGCCUCAAGGCUU